rfam:Streptomyces aureofaciens strain ATCC 10762 contig_1, whole genome shotgun sequence.
GAAUCAUCCAGAGGGGUGGAGGGACCGGCCCUACGAAGCCCCGGCAACUCCCCGGUCGACCCGGCGUCCGAAGUACGCGCCGUGCCGUCCGGGUUCAGUGCCAACUCCGGCCUGUCGCCAACGUGGCGCGGGAAAGAUGAGGA